rnacentral:tRNA from 1 species
GCCUUCGUGGUGUAGUGGUCAGCACGCUGGGCUCGUAUUCCAGAGGUCCGUGGUUCAAGUCGCGACGAAGGCG